GCAUCCUCUGAGGCCCCAGCUUCCCAGGGCAGGAAAUAGCCAGCCUGGGCGCUGCAGACCCCGCGGAAGAGCUGCUCCCUGCGUGGCUCCUCACCACCACCCUCCUCAAGCCCCCACGGAUGCUGGUAACCAUGACAACAGGAGGUGCUUCUGUGGCGGUUUCAGGGCCACGGCCAGCAUCGCUCACCAAGAUGAGAGGAAACCGAGAGGCAGGAAGGUCGAGAACAUGCCUGAGAUCCCCGGAUGCUGGAAGGGGGAGGCAGAACCGGGCCAGAAUCCAGCGUCUGCUCUCCCCCCGCCCCCGGGGCACCCCAACCAAGUGUGCGACCUUUGAGACUCGCAGCAGCACUGCCGAGCGGGGGCCACCGCACCCCGGCCCUCCCGGACGUGGGCUGCCUCCUGCACGCGUCUGUUAACACGCGUGCCCGCCCGCCAGGCCCCCCCACCCAGAGCGAGGAAGCUGGGGGGCUUGGUGUGGGCUCGCACGUGGCUAAUAUUCCUGUUAAAUAAAUACAUUUUGCUAAUUGGAUUACUCAGACAGUGUAAUAUACUAGUGGGUUUCCAACAUGAUGCUAAUAAAUUGU